rnacentral:rRNA from 1 species
AGUGAACGCUGGCGGUAGGCCUAACACAUGCAAGUCGAACGGCAGCACAGUAAGAGCUUGCUCUUACGGGUGGCGAGUGGCGGACGGGUGAGGAAUACAUCGUAAUCUACUUUUUCGUGGGGGAUAACGUAGGGAAACUUACGCUAAUACCGCAUACGACCUACGGGUGAAAGCAGGGGAUCUUCGCACCUUGCGCGAUUGAAUGAGCCGAUGUCGGAUUAGCUAGUUGGCGGGGUAAAGGCCCACCAAGGCGACGAUUCGUAGCUGGUCUGAGAGGAUGAUAGGCCACACUGGAACUGAAACACGGUCCAGACUCCUAAGGGAGGCAGCAGUGGGGAAUAUUGGACAAUGGGCGCAAGCCUGAUCCAGCCAUACCGCGUGGGUGAAGAAGGCCUUCGGGUUGUAAAGCCCUUUUGUUGGGAAAGAACAGCAGCAGGUUAAUACCCCGCUGUUCUGACGGUACCCAAAGAAUAAGCACCGGCUAACUUCGUG